rnacentral:rRNA from 1 species
CUACGGGAGGCAGCAGUGGGGAAUAUUGGACAAUGGGCGCAAGCCUGAUCCAGCAAUGCCGCGUGAGUGAUGAAGGCCUUCGGGUUGUAAAGCUCUUUCGCACGCGACGAUGAUGACGGUAGCGUGAGAAGAAGCCCCGGCUAACUUCGUGCCAGCAGCCGCGGUAAUACGAAGGGGGCUAGCGUUGUUCGGAAUUACUGGGCGUAAAGGGCGCGUAGGCGGUACUUCAAGUCAGGCGUGAAAGCCCCGGGCUCAACCUGGGAACCGCGCUUGAGACUGGAGAACUCGAGUUCGGGAGAGGAUGGUGGAAUUCCCAGUGUAGAGGUGAAAUUCGUAGAUAUUGGGAAGAACACCGAUGGCGAAGGCAGCCAUCUGGACCGACACUGACGCUGAGGCGCGAAAGCGUGGGGAGCAAACAGGAUUAGAUACCCUGGUAGUCCACGCCGUAA